ACCAUGCCAUGAAGAUGUAGAGGAGUGGAGGUAUAGCUUCAAACAUUCUCAGUCUCAGCAUUAGAAGAACUAAGUGGUCACCUUUGCACUCCGACAACCUCUGAGGAACAAACCCCAGUACCCACUGGAUAUGAGGCUGUGUGGACCUCACAGUCAGUCUUGGUACCGUGAUGUUGCUUGCAGAUUCUACUGAAAUUCUUACUGUGGCCAAUUAAAUGAAUCACAAUAAUUGAACCAGGAAAUGGAAUUAACUGCAACAUCAUUCAGUGUGUGGCUGGUUUUAUAGCAGUUUGAUGUAUAUAUGUCUGAGAACAUCAUGGUUUCUCUUCAUCCAAAACUUAUACAGACUAGAAGUUCAUUGUUCCAUGUAUAACACCCAAUAGCAUCAUGGACAAAAAGUGGAGAUGAAAGUAAAAUAAAAUGGAAGUCCUCCACAUGCUUAAUUAAGCAGCAUUCCAGUGAAAGUGGUGGUAUAGAUCCACAUAUUCUUGACACUAGGCAGAGGUGAGUGGUCAGCUUUAUACUUAAGUCAGUUUAACCGUAGGAAGGAACUCCCAGUAUAUCUUGGUUAGGAGGCUGGUUGGGAUCAAAAGUCAAUCUGGAUGCCCCAGUAAAGGAAACAAAUAUUUUCCCCCACUGAGAAUCAAACCCUCAUCGUUUAGUCUCUAUCCUAGUCAGUUUGUUGCCCAAAUUGGCCUGACUGUAUUCAUAGCAAUAUAUUUUCCAUAGUAAAGUAUAAUUUUCAUUUUAAGAUGCAUUUCCCGAUAUGAGCAAUGAGGAACGGGAGCAGAGAUGUCUGGAGCAAACAAGGGCAUGAUUUGUUGUGACAAAACAGUUGAUCUUGUAUGUGUAAAAGUGCUGCCAUAAAUUUCCAGAAACUUGCGUGCAGGCUUGCUUCAUAAAACGUUAAAAACACAACAAGAAGUCUGUUGUGGUCCUGUGGGCCAUGACACUACUCAUAGUGGUAGGUGGUUACCAGUAUUUCAGAGGAAUAUGCCACCUCUGUCUUCAUGAUAAGCGACCCAAGUUGGGAAGUUGGCAGAUUAUAUUAGGGGCGUGGGGAUAAGAGCAGGUUAGGAAGAACAGAGUAGCCAAUCAAUGCCAGGGAUGGAGAGGAUGACACUGGGCCUUGAGCUGGCCAAUGAGAACUGUAGGGCCCAAAGGUGGGGCAACAGCAGUUAAGAGCCAUGUCCCAUGGGAUAUGACGUAUGGUCUUCUAGAUGUUUACUUAUGUUAGGGAACAUACUGCCUGUAUCUGCAGGGUUGAACAGUAAGUCAAGCAUGCAAAUGAACUGCAUCACAUCCCCGAAGAAGAUACUGUUCAUAGUCACUGUCAUGGGAACCUGAAAUCUCACGGGACAGUAACACUUUCUCAACUUGGCCCUCUUCAACCCAGAAUGUGGUGGCAUUAUGUUCUCCUGAAACACUGGUAUCAGUCUACCAGACUGCAGUGCGUCAUAUCCCUGAAGAUGGCAGCAUAAAUCUUCAGUGUCAUUAAAACCUCAAAUUGCAUACAUUAAGAUGUGUUUGUAACAUGCAGAUGAGAGUUGGUUUGUGGAACCUAUGAAGAAAUUUUAGUUGGCUUCUGGACCAUUGAUGUCUGUAAUUCCUUGAGCAGGUCUGUGGAAUUAUGAUCGAAACUUCGAACCUCUUUCUGAUUACAGUGUUAUACAUGCUUUAUUAUUGAAAAGGAAUAGAUGAAAGAAACUAAGUAUUUCAUUACUGCCUUGGGAGUAUAUAUUCAGUAUUUUUCUUUACGGUCAGUUUAUGUAUAGAACAUAUGAUCCGUCAAAUCAACGACAAACUGGGUACAACACACAAUGAACAAAAUUCCAUUGCUCUGAUUUUGUUGGUGAUGUUAUGUACAGGGUGUUUCUGUAGGCCCUUCAGUAUUGCUUGUUGUAUGGACUGUGACCUGAAGUUACGUAGGAACCAUCUGGUAAUUUAUAUCUUGAUUGACUGAGCAGCCAUUAGCUUCUCAAGAUGGACUCUGCUCCAUUUGGGUAGUAUUUAUAGGCUGUGUUUCUCGAUGUGGCCUCUCAUUUGCACAUGAGAAGAAUGGCAAGAAGUAGCAGGGCAGUGGAUGCAGUUACACUGUGGGACGGAGAAAGAGUGAUGCAAUUUACCUAAGGCUGUCCUAUAUCCUAUACAUGCCAUACAAUCCUAUCUCAGUUAGUGAACUUGACGAAAUCCACUGCUCGUUCUGCUGAGCAUGGCCUGAUCUAGGUAUACAGAAGAUGUGACACGUCAGGCAGUGCCAUCUGAAGUAUAUCCAUGUAAAUAUUUAAUGUGUGAUGGUAUGGCAGUUUGUUACAAGAUUAUGGUCUUUAUGUAUAUGUGGCUAUGUAGUUCGGUAGUUAGAUACCAACAUUUACUCGUCUACCCUGAAGAUGCAGGCAGCAGGCUCUUCUGAAACAUUGGCGCCCUUCUACUGAACUGCACUGUUGUCACAUCACAAAAGAUAAUAAUUUUUAAUUCUCACUACCAUGAGAACUUGAAACAUCGUGACCUGUUUAUUCUUUGGUGGUAUGCAGUGAUGCAGCAUAUCAACACUUUUUUUUUAAUUCACUUAUUGGGGAGUGGAGUCCAGUUGGGUCCACUCGGCAUGGCGGCCACUGA